rnacentral:rRNA from 1 species
UACGUAGGGGGCAAGCGUUGUCCGGAAUUAUUGGGCGUAAAGGGCGCGUAGGCGGCCACUGCAAGUCGGUUGUGAAAUCUCCGGGCUUAACCCGGAAAGGUCAACUGAUACUGUGCGGCUAGAGUGCGGAAGGGGCAACUGGAAUUCUUGGUGUAGCGGUGAAAUGCGUAGAUAUCAAGAGGAACACCUGCGGCGAAGGCGGGUUGCUGGGCCGACACUGACGCUGAGGCGCGAAAGCCAGGGGAGCGAACGGG